UAAAGAUUCAUCGCUGAUAGAUAGGCAUGCGUUCCAUUAGGCAGUUGGCGGGGUAACGGCCCACCAAACCGACGAUGGAUAGGGGUUCUGAGAGGAAGGUCCCCCACAUUGGUACUGAGACACGGACCAAACUCCUACGGGAGGCAGCAGUGAGGAAUAUUGGUCAAUGGGCGUAAGCCUGAACCAGCCAAGUCGCGUGAGGGAUGAAGGUUCUAUGGAUCGUAAACCUCUUUUAUAAGGGAAUAAAGUGUGGGACGUGUCCUGUUUUGUAUGUACCUUAUGAAUAAGGAUCGGCUAACUCCGUGCCAGCAGCCGCGGUAAUACGGAGGAUCCGAGCGUUAUCCGGAUUUAUUGGGUUUAAAGGGUGCGUAGGCGGCCUUUUAAGUCAGCGGUGAAAGUCUGUGGCUCAACCAUAGAAUUGCCGUUGAAACUGGGAGGCUUGAGUAUGUUUGAGGCAGGCGGAAUGCGUGGUGUAGCGGUGAAAUGCUUAGAUAUCACGCAGAACCCCGAUUGCGAAGGCAGCCUGCCAAGCCAUGACUGACGCUGAUGCACGAAAGCGUGGGGAUCAAACAGGAUUAGAUACCCUGGUAGUCCACGCAG
rnacentral:rRNA from 1 species